rnacentral:misc_RNA from 1 species
AAGUCGUAACAAGGUUUCCGUAGGUGAACCUGCGGAAGGAUCAUUAACACGUAUCCAACGUAAAACCCCCCUGUGAAGGUUGUUGAGAUCCUUAGUCAAUGACACUUUCACUGACUGCUUCGGGAUGCCAUGCAGCUAUCUCCGCUCAUAUCCUAACUGUAACUUCUCAUUUGUCAGAGGUCCCGAAUCAAUACUGUUCAACAAUGAUUUACCUUCUACGAUUAGGGUCGCUCACCGACCAGCAGACAUGCAACCGGGUCCCCAUGCCCCUUUACAACCCCAAUAACUCUGUGACUCCACGGGAAACCAGUGGGGUAAAAAAACUCGAACAACUGUUAACAAUGGAUAUCUUGGUUCUC